rnacentral:tRNA from 1 species
GCCUCCGUGGCACAAUGGUACUGCACCCGCCUUGAGAGCGGGGCCUUCGGGCUUCCAGGUUCGAUUCCUGGCGGGGGCG